rnacentral:rRNA from 1 species
UACGGAGGGUGCGAGCGUUGUCCGGAAUCACUGGGCGUAAAGGGCGCGUAGGUGGCGCGAGGAGUCAACGGUGAAAGCUCGGCGCUCAACGCCGAGUCGGCCGUCGAUACUCUCGUGCUUGAGCACUGUAGAGGCAGAUGGAAUUCCGGGUGUAGCGGUGGAAUGCGUAGAGAUCCGGAAGAACACCGGUGGCGAAGGCGGUCUGCUGGGCAGUUGCUGACACUGAGGCGCGACAGCGUGGGGAGCAAACAGG